AUGGACCGGCAAAUGGAGCAUAUUCUCAACUUUAAGGGCUCAAUAAAAGGGAGAAGAGUGAUCAAUCGGGACAGAGUGUCCGGAGCAAAGCUACUACACAAUGACUACUUUGCUCUCACACUUGCUUUUCCGAAUAACCCAUGGUUUCGUCGCCGUUUCCACAUGCGGAAACCAUUGUUUUUGUGCAUUGUGGAAGCACACCACGACUACUUCAAGCUGAGAAGGGAUUGUUGCGGCCAACUCUCUUUCUCGGCCAAGCACAAGUGCAUGGUUGCUCUGAGGAUGCUUGCACUUGGUACUGCUGCAGACGCCGUUGGUGAGAUGGUUUGGAUGAGGGAGAGCCCGUGCCUCAAGACUACUGUCAAAUUUGCUCGCGUCGUGGUUGAGGUGUUUGGACCGGAGUAUCUCAGAGAACCAAAUGCGCAGGACACGGAGAAGUUGUUGGUGAUUGGAGAGGCAAGGAGGUUUUCAGGAAUGCUCGGAUCAAUUGAUUGCAUGCAUUUGCAAUGGAAAAACUACCCCAAAGGUCAGCGGGGAAUGUAUCAAGAUCACACCAGAGAGGCCACCAUCAUACUAGAAGCGGUGGCAUCACAUGACUUAUGGAUUUGGCAUGCUUUCCUUGGAAUACCCGGUUCUCACAACGACAUCAACGUGCUUCAAUGUCUCCGGUGGUCAGGAGGCUUUGCAAUGGGGAAUCACCGCCAUGCAACUACACUGUCAACGGUCGGGACUACAACAUGGGGUACUAUCUUGCCGACGGUAUCUAUCCUUAGUGGGCAGUGUUUGUGA
rnacentral:rRNA from 1 species